rnacentral:rRNA from 1 species
GACGAACCGUGCGAACGUUAUUCGGAAUCACUGGGCUUAAAGCGCGUGUAGGCGGGACGGCACGUCGGCCGCUGAAAUCCCCCGGCUCAACCGGGGAAGUGGCGCCGAAACGACCGCCCUCGAGGGGCGUAGGGGGGGCUGGAACUUCCGGUGGAGCGGUGAAAUGCGUUGAGAUCGGAAGGAACGCCCGUGGCGAAAGCGAGCCCCUGGACGUCAUCUGACGCUGAGACGCGAAAGCGUGGGGAGCAAACAGG